UACGUAGGCAGCAAGCGUUGUUCGGAGUUACUGGGCGUAAAGCGUGCGCAGGCGGUUUUGCGAGCCGGAUGUGAAAUCCCCGGGCUCAACCUGGGAAUGGCAUUUGGGACUGCAAGGCUCGAGUGCGGCAGAGGAGACUGGAAUUCCUGGUGUAGCAGUGAAAUGCGUAGAUAGCAGGAGGAAUACCGAUGGCGAAGGCAGGUCUCUGGGCUGACACUGACGCUCAUGCACGAAAGCGUGGGGAGCAAACAGG
rnacentral:rRNA from 1 species